AAGGUCGUAACAAGGUUUCCGUAGGUGAACCUGCGGAAGGAUCAUUACAAGUAAUGCUGGUUAGGAAUGUGGGGCUCUUGGAUCUGUAAGUGGUAGAGCGAACAGUCCGGCUGCCUCCCGAAAUUGUCUUACAUGUCCCCCCAAUAGCCUGAAGGCCGAAUUUACAACCCUUGAUUAUCUACACUCUGUCUUUGGGGCUUGGCUCAAGGUCGCCCCAAGAGGACCCAAUCUCUCUUCAUUUAGUGACGUCUGAGUACUAUAUAAUAUUUAAAAAU
rnacentral:misc_RNA from 1 species